UGGCGUGUCGUCAGCUCGUGUCGUGAGAUGGUUGGGUUAACGUCCGUAACGAGCGCAACCUGUCCUUAGUUACCAGCACGUUAUGGUGGGCACUCUAAGGAGACUGCCGGUGACAAACCGGAGGAAGGUGGGGAUGACGUCAAGUCAUCAUGGCCCUUACGGCCUGGGCUACACACGUGCUACAAUGGUCGGUACAAAGGGUUGCCAAGCCGCGAGGUGGAGCUAAUCCCAUAAAACCGAUCGUAGUCCGGAUCGCAGUCUGCAACUCGACUGCGUGAAGUCGGAAUCGCUAGUAAUCGUGAAAUCAGAAUGUCACGGUGAAUACGUUCCCGGGCCUU
rnacentral:rRNA from 1 species